AAACUAGGAUUAGAUACCCUAUUAUUAGGGAGCUUGACAUUGUAAGUAUAUAAAUAUUAUGAAAGCAAAAAAUUAUGGCGGUAUCUUAAGCUUUUCAGAGGAAUUUGCUCUAUAAUGGAUAAAACACCUUAAUCUUACUUUAAUUGGUAAAAGACAGUUUGUAUACCACUAUUAAAAUAAUAAUAUACAAUUAUUAUUGAAGUAUAUUAUUUAUAUAUUUAAAUAAAAUUAAGUCAAGGUGCAGCAAAAAUUAAAGUAUGAAGUGAAUUACAGUCCUUUUUAGGUAAAAAAAAUGAAAAAGAGUUUAGGAUUUGAAAGUAAAAUUAAAAUAGAAAGUUAAUUUGAAUUAAGCUCUAGGAUAUGUACAUAUCGCCCGUCACUCUUUUUUAAGAUAAGUCGUAACAAAG
rnacentral:rRNA from 1 species